rnacentral:tRNA from 1 species
GCAGUUAGCUCAGUUGGUUAGAGCGUGGUGCUAAUAACGCCAAGGUCGCGAGUUCGACCCUCGUAGUGAUCA